GACGAACGCUGGCGGCGUGCUUAACACAUGCAAGUCGAACGGUGAAGCGCCUUCCUUUUUGGUGGGUGUGGAUGAGUGGCGAACGGGUGAGUAACACGUGAGUAACCUGCCCCCUUCUUCUGGAUAACCGCAUGAAAGUGUGGCUAAUACGGGAUAUUCUGGGUCUGUCGCAUGAUGGGUCUGGGAAAGAUAUUGUUUCGGUGGGGGAUGGGCUCGCGGCCUAUCAGCUUGUUGGUGGGGUGAUGGCCUACCAAGGCGGUGACGGGUAGCCGGCCUGGGAGGGUGGGGGGUCAGCCGGGGGCAGGAGCGCGGACCGGCCUCCUGCGGGAGGCGGCGGUGGGGAUUGUGGCACGGUGGGCGUGGGGUUGUGGACGCUUCGCGGCGGGGGGGCUGGCGGCCUUGGGGUGGGGAACGUCUUUCGCCAGUGAAACAGGCCUCCCUCGUUUGGGGGGGGCCUGCCGCUGGCUUGAUAAGAAGCGCCGGCCAAUUACGUG
rnacentral:rRNA from 1 species